CAAUAGCGUAUAUUAAAGUUGUUGCGGUAAAAAAGCUCGUAGUUGGAUUUCUACCGAAGAUAGCCGGUCGGGUCUUCGACCUUGUAUCUGGUUUUGUCUUUGGUAUCCUCAUAGGGAACGUUUCUGCGCUUUAUUGCGUGGUGCGGUAUCUAUGACUUUUACUUUGAGGAAAUUAGAGUGUUCACGGCAGGCAAACGCCUUGAAUAUAUUAGCAUGGAAUAAUAACAUAGGAUCUUCGUCCUAUUUUGUUGGUUUCUAGGGCUAAGAUAAUGAUUAAUAGGGAUAAUUGGGGGCAUCUGUAUCAACGCGUCAGAGGUGGAGUUCUUGGAUUGCGUUGCGACAAACUACUGCGAAAGCAUUUGCCAAGGAUGUUUUCAUUGA
rnacentral:rRNA from 1 species